ACACGGUGCAUCGACCGCGACC
rnacentral:rRNA from 1 species